AUUAGAAAACAGUUUGAGAGCAAAUGUAUAUGGAUGUGUGUGAGGAACUGAGAUUUAGAUAUACUCUUGAAAGGGGAAACAAAUGAAUCCCAAAAUUGUUUUGACAAUCUGAGAUGAUAAUGGUGCCACUUAUAUAAAUAGAAAAUUAUUAUGAAAGGGAGUCUAUACUGGAAGGAUGGUAGAAAGCAAAGAGGUUAUCAUCAUUUGUUCAGGCACAUAUUCACUCACUUAGAAACUAGUUUGUGAUGACCUAAACUGAGCUGGAAAUCAAAGGAAUACAGAAGAGAAUUGAUACUGGAGAAGAGGAACUGUGAUUAGCUCCAGGCAUGAUUAAGACUCUGUGAAGCAACCUUGGAGAAAUAUCCAAAAAUCUGUUGGCUAUUUGGGUGUAGAGUGGUUUGAGACAAUGGUUUGAGGUACAGGGUUGGGGUUCUGUGAGUAAAUGAGAUGAAUGGUUCAUUUGAUUAAUGGGCUUGUUCUUAGGUAAACUAUAGUUUGUGCAUAUUCACCAAACAUUUCUAUAGGAGUCUUUUUGUAACUCAAAUUGUAAUGAAAAGAGAAAUUAUCCUUUACAAAAUAACCCAAUACCAUUCAUUCUUGGCUCUCUCCUUUGAAAACAGCAUAACUCAGAGGUAAUAUUAGUACCAAAAAAAGGAUCAGUUUUGUCUCCUUUGGGAGAAUAGGGUAAGAAAUUUUAACAGCUGUUUCUCUGGUGAUGAGCAAGAUCACACUUAGGUUUUCACUGUUUUCUCAUGAGUAUUAACUGGUGUGUAUUUGCAUAUUCCAUGUCCCUAUGUAUAUAUUUUAGGAACACGCAGAGUCUCAGAGAACAAGAUUUUACAAAUGUAUGCACACCUGGAAAUACAUCCAUUCAACCUUGUGGAAUAGUGGAAAGAGCUCUGGACAACAUGGAAGAACAAACUGUAUUCACUUUCUGGAUCUUCCCCUUCCUAGAUUUAAUGUGGCCUCGAUUCCCUUGAUUACAGAUGUGACUCCCUUCUACUGGCCAUCAAUCCUUCAUUCCAAAUAAGAAGUGGUGAAAUGUGAAGGAGAAAGGCUCAGGUGAGCUGAAUCUAUCCUGUUUUAUCAAGAAAAUAACAGCUGUCCCAGUAGUGUUUCCUGGUGACUUCCUUUGACUCAUUAGGACAGUGUGGUAUGACUGCCCUUUUUAUAAGGUAGCCUGGGGAAUUGAUGUGAAUUUUAGCUGCAGACAAUGACACCAUGCACAAAAGUGGGGUUCUAUGAAAAGCACGGCUAUAUUUGUGCCAGGCAUCAGUAUCCGACACCAGAACAAUAUUUGGGAAAAUGAGAGCUGUAGCUCAGUAAAAAAUUAAGAGAGUGAUCUAUGAAGCUUAGAAAGAGAUGGUUCUCAUUGAAAAAUACACUUGGCAACUAGCUAAAAAAAGGAUCAUAAGGGAGUCAUACUCAAACACUUAAGUACAUUCUCUGUUAACCUCCCUGUUGGUCUAAUUACUUGGGUGCCAAAGAGUAGUAUCCUACUAAUAACUAAAAGAUACUUUUGCUUUUUUUUUUUUUUUUUUGCUUUUUAGAGCCACACUUGCAGCAUAUGGAAGUUGCCAGGCUAGGGGUUGGAUCAGAGUUACAGCCACCGGCCUACCCCACAGCCACAGCAACGUGGGAUCCGAGCUGUGUCUGCAACCUAUACCACGUCUCAUGGCAACAUCACAACCCCAAUCCACUGAGUGAGGCCAGGGAUUGAACCCACAUCCUUAUGGAUACUAGUCGGAUUCAUUUCCACUGCACAACAGGAACUCCCAAAAAUACGAUUUAUACUGCAAUAAAAGGGCUACUUAGGACA
ensembl:lncRNA